rnacentral:rRNA from 1 species
GAUGAACGCUGGCGGCGUGCCUAAUACAUGCAAGUCGAGCGAACAGACGAGGAGCUUGCUCCUCUGACGUUAGCGGCGGACGGGUGGGUAACACGUGGAUAACCUACCUAUAAGACUGGGAUAACUUCGGGAAACCGGAGCUAAUACCGGAUAAUAUAUUGAACCGCAUGGUUCAAUAGUGAAAGACGGUUUUGCUGUCACUUAUAGAUGGAUCCGCGCCGCAUUAGCUAGUUGGUAAGGUAACGGCUUACCAAGGCAACGAUGCGUAGCCGACCUGAGAGGGUGAUCGGCCACACUGGAACUGAGACACGGUCCAGACUCCUACGGGAGGCAGCAGUAGGGAAUCUUCCGCAAUGGGCGAAAGCCUGACGGAGCAACGUCGCGUGAGUGAUGAAGGUCUUCGGAUCGUAAAACUCUGUUAUUAGGGAAGAACAAAUGUGUAAGUAACUAUGCACGUCUUGACGGUACCUAAUCAGAAAGCCACGGCUAACUACGUG